AUUCCCCCUUCUGGCUCCCGCCCCCCGGUUUUUCCAGGGGGUUGGGAGCGAGGCGAGGUUGAGGGGGGAGGGGAGGGCCCCGUGGGCAGAGACCAAGUUGAGGCGUCCCGAGCAGUAGUGAAGUUUCUGCUGUGCUGCGCCUUGAGCGGCGGGCUGGGCCCUGGCCGGAGCUCAGCGUGGGGACCGCCGCCCCGGAGCUGGCUGCCAUUGCCCCGGGGGAGCUGGAGGGCGAAGGAUCAGGCGCCAGGUCCCGGAACUUCCCGCAAAGACUGGCAGAGCUGGUGCAGUGUGGCUGUGCAGGGGGCAGGCGGUGGGAGCCACGAGCAAAGGCUGUUUCCACCCUAUUGUUUUAGCCUGGCGUUCAAAGGCACUUGGGCUGCUACAGCCACCUCUGCCAGCCACCACUGCCGCCCACCGGCCCUGCCCAAGGACCAGACCUCAGCCCUGCACUCAGGGGGAACUGGACAAGGUGUGUUCCCCCAACUUCAUGGGGAUCCUUGGAGACCUGUGCUUCUGUCUCUGGGGUCCCCUUCACCCCCCCCUUGAAGGGGAGAUAAUUUAGGGACUGACCAGGGUUGGGGAGAGGGGCAUGCUUGUGUCUGGAUAGAUCUCCCACACCCCAAGAGCCCUCCCUCCUUCCCUAUCACCCAGAGAGAAAAAGUGCUGCAGGGACCGGGCGGAGAGGGUAUCCAGUGCCUCUGGGAGCAGGUUCCAGAGAGCUGGGGAGCUGGGGUCCCCACUGUAAAAACAGGAACUGGAAAAUAGUGCUCAACAACAACAGAAAGGAACUUCACUGUGUUUUGGACGAAAGACCUCAAAGCACCUCCAGCAAACACGCUGAUUCCUUCAAGGAAAAUUAGUGGUGCUACGCACUGUCAGCACCCCUCCCCAAAAAAACCCCAUCUGGGAAAUUCCAAAAGGGAAAAGGGGGGUACUUCUUUUCUUUUGUGGUGAAAUAAUAAAAUGAAAUAAUAACAAA